UGCUGUCGAGCGGUAGCACAGGGGAGCUUGCUCCCUGGGUGACGAGCGGCGGACGGGUGAGUAAUGUCUGGGAAACUGCCUGAUGGAGGGGGAUAACUACUGGAAACGGUAGCUAAUACCGCAUAACGUCGCAAGACCAAAGAGGGGGACCUUCGGGCCUCUUGCCAUCAGAUGUGCCCAGAUGGGAUUAGCUAGUAGGUGGGGUAAUGGCUCACCUAGGCGACGAUCCCUAGCUGGUCUGAGAGGAUGACCAGCCACACUGGAACUGAGACACGGUCCAGACUCCUACGGGAGGCAGCAGUGGGGAAUAUUGCACAAUGGGCGCAAGCCUGAUGCAGCCAUGCCGCGUGUGUGAAGAAGGCCUUCGGGUUGUAAAGCACUUUCAGCGAGGAGGAAGGUGGUGAGCUUAAUACGCUCAUCAAUUGACGUUACUCGCAGAAGAAGCACCGGCUAACUCCGUGCCAGCAGCCGCGGUAAUACGGAGGGUGCAAGCGUUAAUCGGAAUUACUGGGCGUAAAGCGCACGCAGGCGGUUUGUUAAGUCAGAUGUGAAAUCCCCGGGCUCAACCUGGGAACUGCAUUUGAAACUGGCAAGCUAGAGUCUCGUAGAGGGGGGUAGAAUUCCGGGUGUAGCGGUGAAAUGCGUAGAGAUCUGGAGGAGAUACCGGUGGCGAAGGCGGCCCCCUGGACGAAGACUGACGCUCAGGUGCGAAAGCGUGGGGAGCAAACAGGAUUAGAUACCCCUGGUAGUCCACGCUGUAAACGAUGUCGAUUUGGAGGUUGUGCCCUUGAGGCGUGGCUUCCGGAGCUAACGCGUUAAAUCGACCGCCUGGGGAGUACGGCCGCAAGGUUAAAACUCAAAUGAAUUGACGGGGGCCCGCACAAGCGGUGGAGCAUGUGGUUUAAUUCGAUGCAACGCGAAGAACCUUACCUACUCUUGACAUCCAGAGAACUUUCCAGAGAUGGAUUGGUGCCUUCGGGAACUCUGAGACAGGUGCUGCAUGGCUGUCGUCAGCUCGUGUUGUGAAAUGUUGGGUUAAGUCCCGCAACGAGCGCAACCCUUAUCCUUUGUUGCCAGCGGUUCGGCCGGGAACUCAAAGGAGACUGCCAGUGAUAAACUGGAGGAAGGUGGGGAUGACGUCAAGUCAUCAUGGCCCUUACGAGUAGGGCUACACACGUGCUACAAUGGCGUAUACAAAGAGAAGCGACCUCGCGAGAGCAAGCGGACCUCAUAAAGUACGUCGUAGUCCGGAUUGGAGUCUGCAACUCGACUCCAUGAAGUCGGAAUCGCUAGUAAUCGUAGAUCAGAAUGCUACGGUGAAUACGUUCCCGGGCCUUGUACACACCGCCCGUCACACCAUGGGAGUGGGUUGCAAAAGAAGUAGGUAGCUUAACCUUCGGGAGUGCG
rnacentral:rRNA from 1 species